UACAGGUUAAAAUGAAAAUUAUUCAUUAAAUUUCAAAAGAACGAAGGUUAAUGAAGAUCACAAAGUGAGACAGAAGUUGAAGAUGAAGAAAAUAGUGUCAACAUAAAUAGUAGAGAUAUGCAGAGUCUGGAGUAAUCUUUCAUCCGUCGGUACAAGGAUUGCUGCUCAUCCCCGGCAAGUGGUGACCGCAACGAGAUCACCUUGCAACGGACACCAUAUGGACACCGCCCCCCCCCCCAAUCCAUAAAGUCUGCGCACAUCUGCAAAACUGGAAUAAAUGCCCUAUUCACUGCCAGAGAUGAGAAGCGUAUCUGCACAUCACAACUGUCUCAAGAACUACUUCUUCCUGCUUUAAAGAAACAAAAGGGGGAACAAAGAGCAGUUCUGCAUGUGUGUGUUUUAUGUAUUGGAGCUCCAUGGUAAGAUUCCAUUUAACAAAAUGCUCAGUUGCUAGAAUAAGAAAAAGAAGAGAAAGAAGAAAUGGAAAACCACUCUCUCCUCGU
rnacentral:lncRNA from 1 species